GGCUCCUUGAGCACAACUUGGAAGCAAGAAUGCGCACAGAAACAAAAAACAAAGGAGUCGAUGAAGCGAGUUACACGGUUGAUUCGAUUUGAAUAUGUUCUGAAAAUGUGAAGAGCAGAUUGUUGAGAGAUGGGUGGAGGAGACGAAGAA
ensembl:ncRNA C28F5.8 ncRNA